rnacentral:lncRNA from 1 species
UUUACGUGCAAAUAUGGUCAUUUCAUAUUUUAAGAAUAAAAGCACAGUACCCAGAGUGCUGCAGACUAACGCUUUAGCGAGAGAGAACCACCUGGCGUCUAGAAUCCUAAGUUUCAUAAAAUUAACACCAGCAAGUCGCAGAACAGAAUGGAAUUAAAGGUAUGCCCUAAAAAAUGAAAAAUGUUCCUUCAAAUUUGAGUCAGAUUCCCACGGUUUGAGCAUGUAGAGAUCUCCUUCAGAUACUAUCCACAACAUGAGUUGCAAGGUCAAACAAUGCCCCGGUGGACUGCUUUCAAGAGCACAAACGAGGAAGCAAACAUCCAGACCUUUUCCUCCAUGAGUCCUACAGUUGGCAGCUUCAGAUUCUUAGCCGGCAAGUUUUUGCCCCAGACUUCGGUUUUAUCAACAUAAAACAAAUUCUCUUCUCCAUGCUUCGGGUAACUGAAUACAAGUCACUUUCCAUAUGGCUCUCCUUUAUGUACACGCAUGAUGGUUGCUCAUAUGUCUUCAUUUUACUAUUACACACCAUCUUUUACCAUUAGUUAUUACAGAUUCAGUUGCGG